AGUGAACGCUGGCGGUAGGCCUAACACAUGCAAGUCGAACGGCAGCACAGUAAGAGCUUGCUCUUACGGGUGGCGAGUGGCGGACGGGUGAGGAAUACAUCGGAAUCUACUUUUUCGUGGGGGAUAACGUAGGGAAACUUACGCUAAUACCGCAUACGACCUACGGGUGAAAGCAGGGGAUCUUCGGACCUUGCGCGAUUGAAUGAGCCGAUGUCGGAUUAGCUAGUUGGCGGGGUAAAGGCCCACCAAGGCGACGAUCCGUAGCUGGUCUGAGAGGAUGAUCAGCCACACGGGAACUGAGACACGGUCCAGACUCCUACGGGAGGCAGCAGUGGGGAAUAUUGGACAAUGGGCGCAAGCCUGAUCCAGCCAUACCGGGUGGGUGAAGAAGGCCUUCGGGUUGUAAAGCCCUUUUGUUGGGAAAGAAAAGCAGCAGGUUAAUACCCCGCUGUUCUGACGGUACCCAAAGAAUAAGCACCGGCUAACUUCGUG
rnacentral:rRNA from 1 species